rnacentral:rRNA from 1 species
CCUACGGGAGGCAGCAGUGAGGAAUAUUGGUCAAUGGCCGGAAGGCUGAACCAGCCAUGCCGCGUGAAGGUCAGUGCCCUAUGGGCGUUAAACUUCUUUUGUGCGGGAGCAAUAAUGGUCACGUGUGGCCAGACGAGAGUACCGUACGAAUAAGCAUCGGCUAACUCCGUGCCAGCAGCCGCGGUAAUACGGGGGAUGCAAGCGUUACCCGGAUUUAUUGGGUUUAAAGGGUGCGUAGGCUGGGAUGUAAGUCAGCGGGGAAAUGCCCCCGCUCAACGGGGUGAAGUGCCAUUGAUACUGCCUUGCUGGAAUGCGGAUGCCGUGGGAGGAAUGUGUGGUGUAGCGGUGAAAUGCAUAGAUAUCACACAGAACACCGAUUGCGAAGGCAUCUCACGAAUCCGCGAUUGACGCUGAUGCACGAAAGCGUGGGUAUCAAACAGGAUUAGAUACCCCAGUAGUC